UGGGGAAUUUUGCACAAUGGGGGAAACCCUGAUGCAGCGACGCCGCGUGAUUUAGAAGGCCUUCGGGUUGUAAAAAUCUUUUCUAUGGGAAGAAAAUGACAGUACCAUAGGAAUAAGGACCGGCUAAUUACGUUCCAGCAGCCGCGGUAAUACGUAAGGUCCGAGCGUUUUCCGGAAUCAUUGGGCGUAAAGGGUACGUAGGCGGGUAAGCAAGUUAGAAGUGAAAUCCUAUAGCUCAACUAUAGUAAGCUUUUAAAACUGCUCAUCUUGAGGUAUGGAAGGGAAAGUGGAAUUCCUAGUGUAGCGGUGAAAUGCGCAGAUAUUAGGAGGAAUACCGGUGGCGAAGGCGACUUUCUGGCCAUAACCUGACGCUGAGGUACGAAAGCGUGGGUAGCAAACAGG
rnacentral:rRNA from 1 species